CCUACGGGUGGCAGCAGUGAGGAAUAUUGGUCAAUGGGCGCGAGCCUGAACCAGCCAAGUAGCGUGAAGGAUGACUGCCCUAUGGGUUGUAAACUUCUUUUAUAAAGGAAUAAAGUGAGGCACGUGUGCCUUUUUGUAUGCACUUUAUGAAAAAGGAUCGGCUAACUCCGUGCCAGCAGCCGCGGUAAUACGGAGGAUGCGAGCGUUAUCCGGAUUUAUUGGGUUUAAAGGGAGCGUAGGCGGGUUGUUAAGUCAGUGGUGAAAAUUUGGGGCUCAACCGUAAAAUUGCAUUUGAAACUGGCGUUCUUGAGUACAGUAGAGGUAUGCGGAAUUCGUGGUGUAGCGGUGAAAUGCAUAGAUAUCACGAAGAACUCCGAUUGCGAAGGCAGCUUACUGGACUGCAACUGACGUUGAUGCUCGAAAGUGUGGGUAUCAAACAGGAUUAGAUACCCGAGUAGUC
rnacentral:rRNA from 1 species